rnacentral:lncRNA from 1 species
CCAGUUUUUUUAUUGCCCCUCAUCGCAAACAAUUAAUUGCACUGAACCGUAUGCCCUAUAUCACACACGGAACUAAAAUCUGAACCGUGUUUGAUGCAUCCGUCAUUGCAAACAUUUUGCAUCUUUUUGACGGUUUUUUACACCACCGUUUGCGAUUAAUGCAUCACACAUAGUUUCGUCAAAUGAUCUCUGAUCGUAGUGUCGCGUUAGCAGCAAUCCUGCACUAGUGGGGCUCGACGCCCAUGUCCUUCUGGAUCUUCUUCCUGGCAAUGUACAUCUUGAUUCCCUUCAGCUGGGCCCUGCAGAUGGAAGGGUUGGAUUCGUCAAGCACACAUGCACAAGUAACCAAAAGUUAGUCCUCAUUAUGUACUAAUUAUCUAAGUUAUAGUUAACUUGGAUACAAUGAAAUAAGAAUUUGUCAAAUAAAGUAUUAUACAAUCACCUUUGAUUUGUACGAAAAUUUCCCAUGAUAAUUUUCCUUCUUUAAAAAAUCACAUGAAGCACUCCUGCAUCUUAAGAAACCACUCUAACAGUAAGACCUUCAACUCCUUGUACCUAAACCAUGGAGCACAAAAAGAAAAUUACAAUAAGUUUACUCCAUAGUUGACAUCACUGUAACACAAUUCCUAAAGACAGGCACAUAAUACCAAGAUCAACACUUUACACAACUCAUUUCACAAUUUUGUUCUUGUUAAGUUGGCCAUGAGUUAUAAUAUGAAAUGGAUCAUCACAUCAAAUUAUCUUUAUUUGAAUCCAAUAAAUUCAACCGCGUAACUUAGCUACAGUUUAACAAAACAGGAUCUUGAAAUGCAACUAAUAUUACCCACCUACAUAUAGAUACUGAAUUAGUAAGUCAACAAGAGAAGCUUAGAAAUUUACAAUACACAACCUCAUGUGUAAGUUCUAACAAGAUGGAUCUGGAUGAGCAAGUAGCUCAUGGAAAUAAUAAAAUAAGACUUAAAAUAGGGAUGCGAUAGGUCUGCAGUUAACUCUAUGGUUAGUAAUUGCAGAUAACUCGUAUGACAUAGUCACAAACAUGGUGCAAAUACCUCUGCAACAUUCAAGGGAUUGCAGCAACAUAGAAAGUUGAUGUUAAUGGAAUUUUCAGCAACCCUG